rnacentral:rRNA from 1 species
GACGAACGCUGGCGGCGUGGAUUAGGCAUGCAAGUCGAACGGUAUCAUCCUUUCGGGGGUGAGAGAGUGGCGAACUGGUGAGUAACACGUAGGUUAUCUACCCUCAAGACGGGGACAACCCAGGGAAACUUGGGCUAAUACCGGAUGUGAGCAACUUUUAGUUGUUUGAAAGGUGGCGUAAGCUGUCGCUUGGGGAUGAGCCUGCGUCCUAUUAGUUAGUUGGUGAGGUAACGGCUCACCUAGGCAAUGAUAGGUAGGCGGCCUUAACGGGUGGUCGCCCACACUGGGAUUGAGAUACGGCCCAGACUCCUACGGGAGGCAGCAGUCGAGAAUAGUCUACAAUGGUCGGAAGACUGAUAGUGCGACGCCGCGUGAACGAUGAAUCCCUUCGGGGUGUAAAGUUCUUUUAAUAUGUAGCAGUGCUUCUAUAUUAACAGUAUGGGGAAGAGAUAUUAGCAUAUGAAUAAGCAACGGCUAACUCCGUGCCAGCAGCCGCGGUAAUACG